rnacentral:rRNA from 1 species
AACGAACGCUGGCGGCAUGCCUAACACAUGCAAGUCGAACGAAAACUUCGGGUCUAGUGGCGCCCGGGUGCGUAACCCGUGGGAACAUGCCCUUAGGUUCGGCCUAACUACCCGAAAGGGGUGCUAAUACCGGAUCAUGUCUUCGGACCAAAGAUUUAUCGCCUUUGGUUGUGCGCGCGUUGGAUUAGCUUGUUGGUAGGGUAAAAGCCUACCAAGGCGACGAUCCAUAGCUGGGUUGAGAGGAUGAUCAGCCACUCCGAGACUGAGACACGGCCCAGACUCCUACGGGAGGCAGGAGUGGGUAAUAGUGGACAAUGGGCGGAAGCCUGAUCCAGCAAGGCCGCGUGAGUGAUGAAGGCCUUAGGGUUGUAAAGCUCUUUUACCCGGGAUGAUAAUGACGGUACCGGGAGAAUAAGCUCCGGCUAACUCCGUG